rnacentral:rRNA from 1 species
GAAAGGGCGCUAAAUUCCGUGCCAGCAGCCCGCGGUAACACGGAAGCCCCGAGCGUUUGUUCGGAUUCAUUGGGCGUAAAGGGUGCGUAGNCGGCGCGGAAAGUCCGGCGUGAAAGGCAGGGGCUCAACCUCUGGACUGCGUUGGAUACUUCCGUGCUUGAGGACUGGAGGGGAGACUGGAAUUCACGGUGUAGCAGUGAAAUGCGUAGAUAUCGUGAGGAAGACCGGUGGCGAAGGCGAGUCUCUGGACAGAUCCUGACGCUGAGGCACGAAGGCUGGGGGAGCGAACAGGAUUAGAUACCCUGGUAGUCCCAGCAGUAAACGAUGUGAGCUUGAUGUGGGGGGAUUCGACCCCUUCCGUGUCGAAGCUAACGCGAUAAGCUCACCGCCUGAGGAGUACGGCCGCAAGGCUAAAACUCAAAGAAAUUGACGGGGACCCGCACAAGCGGUGGAGUAUGUGGCUUAAUUCGAUGCAACGCGAAGAACCUUACCUGGCCUUGACAUGCAUUGUAUCGUCGGUGAAAGCCGGCUAGUCCUGGAAACAGGACGCUUUGCACAGGUGCUGCAUGGCUGUCGUCAGCUCGUGUCGUGAGAUGUUGGGUUAAGUCCCGCAACGAGCGCAACCCUUGUGGUCAGUUACUAACCGGCUUAGCCGGAGGACUCUGGCCAGACUGCCCUGUCAAACGGGGAGGAAGGUGGGGACGACGUCAAGUCAGUAUGGCCCUUAUGGCCAGGGCUGCACACGUACUACAAUGCCCGGUACAAUGUGAACCGAAACCGCGAGGUGGAGGAAAUCGCUCUUGAAAACCGGGCCCAGUUCGGAUUGGAGUCUGCAACUCGACUCCAUGAAGUCGGAAUCGCUAGUAAUGGCGUAUCAGCAACGACGCCGUGAAUACGUUCCCGGGUCUUGUACACACCGCCCGUCACAUCAUGGAAGUCUCCUGUACCCGAAGCACGUGCGCCAACCUUUCAGGAGGCAGCGUUCGAAGGUAUGGGAGCCAACUGGGAUGAAGUCGUA